UAAAGCGAUUCAGCGGGUUACGAUUGACGGAGCGAAGCGACGUCAAAGCGUAUACAAAGUCGAGUCGGUUUAAGGAUACGUUCGUUGGGUAGGGGAGCGUUCUGUAAGCCCGUGAAGGUGGCCUGUGAGGGUUGCUGGAGGUAUCAGAAGUGCGAAUGCUGACAUAAGUAACGAUAAAGCGGGUGAAAAGCCCGCUCGCCGGAAGACCAAGGGUUCCUGUCCAACGUUAAUCGGGGCAGGGUGAGUCGACCCCUAAGGCGAGGCCGAAAGGCGUAGUCGAUGGGAAACGGGUUAAUAUUCCCGUACUUGGUGUUACUGCGAAGGGGGGACGGAGAAGGCUAUGUUGGCCGGGCGACGGUUGUCCCGGUUUAAGCGUGUAGGUGUGUGUUCCAGGUAAAUCCGGUUCACUUUAACACUGAGGCGUGAUGACGAGGCACUACGGUGCUGAAGCAACAAAUGCCCUGCUUCCAGGAAAAGCCUCUAAGCAUCAGGUAACAUCAAAUCGUACCCCAAACCGACACAGGUGGUCAGGUAGAGAAUACCAAGGCGCUUGAGAGAACUCGGGUGAAGGAACUAGGCAAAAUGGUGCCGUAACUUCGGGAGAAGGCACGCUGACACGUAGGUGAAGUGAUUUACUCACGGAGCUGAAGUCAGUCGAAGAUACCAGCUGGCUGCAACUGUUUAUUAAAAACACAGCACUGUGCAAACACGAAAGUGGACGUAUACGGUGUGACGCCUGCCCGGUGCCGGAAGGUUAAUUGAUGGGGUCAGCGCAAGCGAAGCUCCUGAUCGAAGCCCCGGUAAACGGCGGCCGUAACUAUAACGGUCCUAAGGUAGCGAAAUUCCUUGUCGGGUAAGUUCCGACCUGCACGAAUGGCGUAAUGAUGGCCAGGCUGUCUCCACCCGAGACUCAGUGAAAUUGAACUCGCUGUGAAGAUGCAGUGUACCCGCGGCAAGACGGAAAGACCCCGUGAACCUUUACUAUAGCUUGACACUGAACAUUGAGCCUUGAUGUGUAGGAUAGGUGGGAGGCUUUGAAGUGUGGACGCCAGUCUGCAUGGAGCCGACCUUGAAAUACCACCCUUUAAUGUUUGAUGUUCUAACGUGGACCCGUAAUCCGGGUUGCGGACAGUGUCUGGUGGGUAGUUUGACUGGGGCGGUCUCCUCCUAAAGAGUAACGGAGGAGCACGAAGGUUGGCUAAUCCUGGUCGGACAUCAGGAGGUUAGUGCAAUGGCAUAAGCCAGCUUGACUGCGAGCGUGACGGCGCGAGCAGGUGCGAAAGCAGGUCAUAGUGAUCCGGUGGUUCUGAAUGGAAGGGCCAUCGCUCAACGGAUAAAAGGUACUCCGGGGAUAACAGGCUGAUACCGCCCAAGAGUUCAUAUCGACGGCGGUGUUUGGCACCUCGAUGUCGGCUCAUCACAUCCUGGGGCUGAAGUAGGUCCCAAGGGUAUGGCUGUUCGCCAUUUAAAGUGGUACGCGAGCUGGGUUUAGAACGUCGUGAGACAGUUCGGUCCCUAUCUGCCGUGGGCGCUGGAGAACUGAGGGGGGCUGCUCCUAGUACGAGAGGACCGGAGUGGACGC
rnacentral:rRNA from 1 species